rnacentral:tmRNA from 1 species
GGGGGCGACCUGGUUUCGACGGGGUUCGCCAAGGAUAAGGUUGCGCGUCGAGGGUGCCGUUGGCCUCGUAAAAAAGCGGCAAAGCCAUUAACUGGCAACGUUAACAGCAACAACCCCAGCUACGCACUCGCUGCUUAAUCCCGGCGACGUCUUCUAGCAGCCCCGCCGGUGGCUCGCUAGAGAAGAUGAACCAGUAGUCGGCUAGCCCGCGCGCUCGAGCGUUGGUCGCGGGCGAAAUUAAAGACGCUGUAGGUUGCGCCGCCGAGCCCGUCACCGGGCGCGGGCGUUGCCGAAACCAAAAACGGUGACUACACGCGUAGAUGCCCGUCUGAGGGUGCUUCGGACGCGGGUUCGACUCCCGCCGCCUCCACCA